rnacentral:other from 1 species
UGCCUCCUGCGGUGUUCGAUAAGGACCUGGAUCCCUCGACCCUAACUAUUAGAUCGGGGUUAUGUACUGCAGAAAGUUUUGUGCAUUACCGCGUUAAGCGGGCAGCCUAUACUCCCUGCGACCGACCCCACUUGUUGCUCCGGUUCGAGAGCAACGGUUCUACCGGCACAGGCGGGAGGCAC